UACGUAGGCAGCAAGCGUUGUUCGGAAUUACUGGGCGUAAAGAGUGUGUAGGCGGUUUUGUAAGUUCGGUGUGAAAUCUCCCGGCUUAACUGGGAGGGUGCGCCGGAAACUGGAGGACUGGAGUGCCGGAGAGGAUAGCGGAAUUCCUGGUGUAGCGGUGAAAUGCGUAGAUAUCAGGAGGAACACCUGCGGUGUAGACGGCUAUCUGGACGGUUACUGACGCUGAGACACGAAAGCGUGGGUAGCAAACAGG
rnacentral:rRNA from 1 species